UACGAAGGGUGCAAGCGUUAAUCGGAAUUACUGGGCGUAAAGGGUGCGUAGGCGGUUGUUUAAGUCUGUCGUGAAAUCCCCGGGCUCAACCUGGGAAUGGCAAUGGAUACUGGCGGGCUAGAGUGUGUCAGAGGAUGGUGGAAUUCCCGGUGUAGCGGUGAAAUGCGUAGAGAUCGGGAGGAACAUCAGUGGCGAAGGCGGCCAUCUGGGACAACACUGACGCUGAAGCACGAAAGCGUGGGGAGCAAACAGG
rnacentral:rRNA from 1 species